UACGAAGGGGGCUAGCGUUGCUCGGAAUCACUGGGCGUAAAGGGUGCGUAGGCGGGUCCUUAAGUUAGGGGUGAAAUCCCGGGGCUCAACCCCGGAACUGCCUUUAAUACUGGCAAUCUCGAGUCCGAGAGAGGUGAGUGGAAUUCCGAGUGUAGAGGUGAAAUUCGUAGAUAUUCGGAGGAACACCAGUGGCGAAGGCGGCUCACUGGCUCGGUACUGACGCUGAGGUGCGAAAGCGUGGGGAGCAAACAGG
rnacentral:rRNA from 1 species